CUCGAGAAAUUCUUAAACUUUAAUUAGAAUGCAUGCCCCUAAUUAAUCAUGGCCCAAGAACUUAAUUAGAAUUCCAGCUCAAAACCAAAUUAAUUUCAGCCCAGACUUCCUUGUGAAUUAAUUCCAUCCGACAUAUCUUCAAUUUCCUAUUUCUUGGCCCGAUUCUCUUCAAAUGGGGCAGCCCAUUUCGAUCCAAACAAAAAAAUAGUCCAUCUUGUUAAAUUCCAGCCCAGCUCUUGGACUAAAAUAUAUUGGUAACACUACUUAUUUAAUUCCUUUAGCCCAAACUUAUCACAAUAAAAACUCUUGGCCCCAAUUCGAAAGCCCGAUCUAAUUGUUGGUGGCCCAAUGAUUUCUCCUUUACUAUUUCCAUCGUAUCCUCCUCCCUCUCUCUUCUCAACUUAAAUCAAAAUCCUUAGAACAGUAGACUCCAUUCACUCUCUUCUUCUUACCGACAAAACGCAACACCGCCGCCGGCGGACACGCACAGGCGGCGGUCUCGCCGCUCCGGCUUCCCCUCGUCAAACUCUCAUCUCUCUCUUUCUCACUUCCGUCGGCUCUGUUGAGCUCCCUCUCAUCUCUCAAUUCGAAAUUUCUCCCAAUUUUAGAGACCCAAUUUGCGGACCUCCGCCGUCAGCUUAGGGCCGCCAUCAUCGGCUCCGGCUACUUGGUUCUAUCAGCCGAGGCUCCGAUUCUCCUCUGUACUCACAACAGCGUCAGCUCUCCGCCGCUGCUUCUUGGUGAAACAGAGCCGUCGCCACCGAUCGAAGCUGCCACGGUGAUGCCCCCUCUGUUAGGUUCGAGUUUGAGUAGCCCCUUUCUCGGCCUCUGCCCCUGCUGAUGCCUCGCACGAGCAGCUACUGCCUCAUCGCUGUCAAGUGCCGUUGCUGCCCCGAUGAGUCAGUGUGUCUGCCUUCGUGGCCUCGCCGUCGCCGGUAGUCAUUGUGCAGCCCUUCCGGCCCUAAAGCUAAGGAUUGGCUGUCAUUUUUUUUUGGAGCUUUGUGUAGGUUGGAUCGAGAGAGAAGAUAGUAGAACAUGCUGACCUCAUCUUCCAUGUCCAUUUCUCAAAGUAGCAAACUAUAACUCCUUGAUUCUUGUGUUUGCCAAAAUAUGAUUGUAUAUGGUUACUGUAUGGUUAGAGUGGGUAGGACCUGUAGAGUAGUGUUGUCUAUUUGCACUUGUAGGCAUAUGUAUGUAUUUCAAAAGUUGUACUCUCAACCAUAACUCUUGUAUUUCUAUUUUUUCCAACAACUUGUAAUUCAAAACUUAAAUUUCCUUGCA